rnacentral:rRNA from 1 species
UACGUAGGGUGCGAGCGUUGUCCGGAAUUAUUGGGCGUAAAGGGCUCGUAGGCGGUUUGUCGCGUCGGGAGUGAAAACCAAGUGCUUAACACCUGGCUUGCUUUCGAUACGGGCAGACUAGAGGUAUUCAGGGGGAGAACGGAAUUCCUGGUGUGAGCGGUGGAAAUGACGCAGAUAUCAGGAGGGAACACCCGGUGGCGAAGGCGGGUCGUCUGGGCCGGCAACUGACGCUGAGGAGCGAAAGCGUGGGGAGCAAACAGG